ACAUACCAUGUUUGUCUUUUUGUGAUUGGGUUACCUCACUCAGGAUGGUUUCUUCUAGUUCUUAUAGAGUCCCAUUGUGAAGUCUCUGAACUUAGGCCUUAUCACAAGAAUUGGGGAUGUAGCAGAGGUAUUCAAACUUUUGUCUACCACAGUGUAGACAGGAAAGAGAUAUGGGGUAGCAAUUUUUAUUUCUUCAUAUCUUAAUUUAAAAUCCUACUUAUAUAAACUUCUGAGUAAUUAUUAUAUUUAAUAUAAUAUUAAUAAUGGCAUGUCAUUCUCUGGUUAGAUUUUCAAGAUAAUGACUAGUUACUGUAAAUGGCAAGGACACUGUGGUACUCACCUGUUUUUCCCAAUGCUAUUGUCCCUUCAGUGUCUGCCAUCUCCUGUAAUUCUUAGCUAUAACACUUGGACUGGCUCAGUGGAGAAAAUACACAAAGUAUCUCCGUUUAGUUCUAAGAAUAACAGGGAAGGGAGUUGAAUCAUGUGUUCUCUUGUUUGCAUUUCUUGCUACUCAACAUUCAAAGACCAAAGGGUUUCUUCAAACUGUAAAACACUUGUUGAUAAAAAGAGUUUCCCAAACUAGUGAGGAGCUUCCCAUACUAGUGAGGAGCUUCCUAAUCAGGUGCUGGUAAGUUUACUGCUACAUGGUGGGCACAAAACUGAGCAUAUUGGGAACCCAUAGAGGUUCUAAGAUGAUCACUCUGGUUGUAUGCACAUCCAGAGGUCUCUCAACAGGCAAUCAUCUGGGUCUGACUCAAGUUCUGCAGUCACAAUACUCAGCAAUGAAAUCAGUAAGCCUGCUGUCACAGAGUGAGAGGAACCUAGACUUGUGUAGAAGGUAAUGAUGAAUAUGGGCAGAGGCAGACAGAAUCAAAUGUAACCAUGAGAUUAAUCAUUGGAUUUUAUCACGGUAAUUUCUUGUCUUUUAGUAACUGUAACUUUCUACUUUUUAAGGAAAUACUAACUAAUAAGGCAGAGUUAAUAAUGUGCAUCAAGAGUUGAUCCUGGCAGUGAGGUGAAUGGGCUGAGAAUUUUCUUUUGAUGAUUUCUCUACAGAUGCUGAGAGAGCAUAGAUAGAAGCUAUUAGUUCCCACCCACCCCCCCAAAUAUCCACAGCCCUGCCCAAGUGAUUCCUGCAGAAACAGGAAAUCAUUGGCUUGCCUAAAUAACUAGAGAAGGAAAAGCCUGUGAAGUAAGCUCAGCAAAUGAAAGAUGGAACUGAAUUACAUGUUGCUUAAGCUCUUGCAUUCCUACAACAGGUCAUCUCUGUGGAAUCAAACCUAAGUGAAAGGAGAAUAGGAAUCCUGAUGCUCUGGAAUAAUCUGUGUCAAAGUUUGGUUGGUUUGCAAUGUUGGAGGAUCCAUCUGAGAUACCAAAUAUCAAAGUAAAUACUCUUCAGGGGCCUAAAAAAGUCUUCAAAAAACUGGGAUCUCACUUUUCAAAGCUUCCACUCACUCUCUGAGGUGGGGAAGGUGAGGGUGGGGAAACAUUAUGUGCACACUGGAAUCUGUAAUGUCUGUGGAUAAUGUAUUAAAUAUAUUUGGAAUAUACGGUUAUGGUUAUGGUUAAAAACAGUCUAACUCUUACAAAAUUUAUGGCUUUGGGUCAUGCUAAGCCAUUUUCUCAGACACUCACUAUGGAAAGCUAAUUAGCUACGAAGUGUCCCCAUUAUAAGCCUUCUCAAGGAAAAGGAAAGUGUUGGAAAUGUAGAGCUGUUUACACUUUUAACAGACAGGGCAGGAAUGAAAUGUUGUAGAAAAGAAAAGGGUGCUCAGAAAAGAGAAAUUUUUCCAGGAGUCAAAAUUUGAACCCUAUGACAUCAAGAGUUUUGUUUCUUAGUAACAGACAAGAGGGUGAUGAUGAAUUAGUGCCAGAAGAGUCUUUCAAAAACAUCAGAAAAUAAACUGAGCUGAAAUAAAUUCCAGUGCCUUGAGAGAACUUAAAAAAGACAUUUCUCAUUAAUGAAGAACUCCAAGAAGAGAGUGCUUUAUUUAUAAGGACAUAGUGCCGAGAUCGAAGUCACAGUUUUCAGGUGCCAAAUCAGAAUUCAGGCAAGAAAGAACAUCAAAAGAAGUAACAGGCAGAUGUUAAAAAAAAAAAAAAAAAAAAGGUAAUAAGAAAAUGUAGGAGACAGAAUAACAAAUGCUAUAUAGAUAGUAAGCUGGGAAGAAACGUUGCCAUGGAAACAUAAUUUAAGACAAGAAAAGGUCGAAAGUUCCUCUUAAAAGCUAUAGGAUGAUUAGGCUGGAAAGUGUGGAGGUCGCUGAAUGCAGUCAUCUCUAUUUCACUAAGGAGAAUCUUCUGCUGCUGGUAUCCAUGAGGCCCUCCUCCACAAAUGCAGUAACAAGACUGAACUCAGAAAAUAAAGCAAAAGGAGACAAGAAAAAGACUGCAAGACAAUGGAAACAGGAACAAAGGAACUUCUCAACUAAGUGAUGGAUAUAGGGAGUCUUGUGAAGAGUACUCCAGUAUCACAGGAAUUAAGACCAGCAAUCAAGAAGCAGAAUCUCAUGAAACUAAAAGCUUAUGGACAGCAAAGGAAAUUACCAGUAAAAUGAAGAGACCACCCACAGAACUGAAGAAUAUCUUGGUCGGUUGUAUGUACAUCUGAACAAAGACCAAUGUUUAGAGUAUACAAAGAACUGAAAACAAACAUCGACAAAAUAAACAACUCAAUUUAAAAAUGGAGUGCAGAAUUGAGCCAAAACUUCUCAGAAGAAGAAAUAAAAAUGGUUCAUGAGCAUUUUA